rnacentral:lncRNA from 1 species
AUGACUUCGACUUUUCAUCAUUUCUCUGAGGGACACGGGCCAAAGGCAAGGCUGGCAGACCUUGGAAUCAAGGGCAGAAGGCCUCUGGAGAAGGGACAGCCACACAGAAACUACAGCGGAACAAGUGUCACUUCCGAAAUGCAAUUUACAAGUUGUUACUCUCACAGCGGCGCGGAGGCACUGAAAGAGCGUUUGCACCGUUUGGAACCCGCGGAUGCUGUUUGGUUUUUCAGAACAGCUGUCUCGGUGACCUCUCCCCGGGCUCAACUCUCCCCUGCCCGCUUCCCUUUUUGUCUUUUAAAGCCCCAGCAUAUGAGGAUUUGGCAGCUAGAACAAAGUUGAGCACCACUGACACAGGAAAUGGUCCACGGCUGGACUGGCGCCUGAAUGUAGCUGAAUGGGGACACACACACCCGGCCCUUAGCAGAGAAGCAGUUGUCACUCAAAGCGCUGAGCUCCAUGGCACUGGCUUCCUCGGCUCCCCGUUCUAAGUGUCUUGACUGUGUUAGGAAGGUAACAGUAGUGGUGGGACACGGUACAACUCAGUCUUUGUUUCAGUUUUUAAAAAAAAAAUGUUUAUUUUUGAGACAGAGACAGAGUAUGAGCGACGGGGGGGCAAAGAGAGAGGGAGACACGGAAUCCAAAGCAGGCUCCAGGCUCUGAGCGGUCAACACAGAGCCCGACGUGGGGCUCGAACCCACCAAAUGUGAGAUCGUGACCUGAGCCAAAGUCGGACAUCCAACCCACUGAGCCACCCAGGUGCCCCUAUAACCCAGUCUUAACCUUGUAGUUUGGGUGGCUCUUCAGGAAGAGGAAGAGGUAGGAAGUCAACUGGCACUUAACUCACUGUAUCCCGCGCUGUGCUGGGCACUUUGUAUACAUUCUGCAAAGGAGAGUGAGUGGUUUUCCAUCGCUGUCUGGGUGUGGGCCACACUACCUGUGUGGUCUUGGGCACGUCGCUGGACGCUUUGCCUCAUUUUCCUUUGGUAACGCUGGCAACCAGACCUACACCACUGGGUUACUAUGAGGAUUAAGUUAAUUAUUGUGCGUGAAGCUCUUCGUGCCAGGAACAUGUGUGCCAUUAUUAGCUUUAUUAGCUCAUUUUAACACAGCCCUGCUUAUCCUUUUAUGAUCUAGGAAACCGAGGCUCAUGGAGAUUAAGUCAAUUACCGGAGAUGGCAGAGCCUGAAACCAAACUCAGAUUUAUCUGACUGCCGUGUUUUCUUCUCAUAACAUGACCGGGCCUGCUUGAUGCUAUCGAAUUCCCUCUUCUGCUUGCCAGCUUCGGGUUCAGUGUAUUAGCCCUUCUUUGUACCGACAGGGGUGAAAUCCUAUACGACUC